UACGGAGGGUGCAAACGUUGCUCGGAAUCAUUGGGCGUAAAGCGCACGUAGGCGGCCCGUUAAGUCGGAUGUGAAAUCCCUCGGCUCAACCGAGGACGUGCAUUCGAUACUGGCAGGCUUGAAUAUGGAAGAGGGUCGCGGAAUUCCCGGUGUAGAGGUGAAAUUCGUAGAUAUCGGGAGGAACACCAGUGGCGAAGGCGGAGACCUGGGCCGAUACUGACGCUGAGGUGCGAAAGCGUGGGGAGCAAACAGG
rnacentral:rRNA from 1 species